rnacentral:rRNA from 1 species
CACGUAGGCACCAAGCGUUGUCCGGAUUGACUGGGCGUAAAGCGCACGCAGGCGGAUGCGCGCGUGGGGUGUGAAAUCUGGCCGCUUAACGGCCAGGCGCCAUCCCAUACGGCGCGUCUGGAGCUAUGCAGAGGUCGGUGGAAUUGCCGGUGUAGUGGUGAAAUGCGUAGAGAUCGGCAGGAACACCCAGGGGGAACCCAGCCGACUGGGCAUAUGCUGACGCUGAGGUGCGAGAGCGUGGGGAGCGAACCGG